CAACAGAAGAAUCAGAGCAUCCUCCAUCCUCCCGACCCAAGGGGGCUAUCUUGUCCAGCUGCCUUCACUUGAGUCACCAAAAAGCAUCAGAAAGAAGACCAAACCAACAAAAACCCAAGACUGAACCAGGAGAAAGAACUGCACAGACCUUGUUGACUGACUGAGUGGGCCGGGUCAGGUGGUUACCACAAUGUGAGGGCUCAGUGAAGGACAUCUCAGGAAUUGGAAGCCAGUGCAUAAGAAAAUAAAGAAAAUCUGGGCCAGUGGUGAAAUGGAAGGAUCCACUUACCGGCAUAUGGCAUGGUCCCCAUUGGGGAUUAACAUGAAGAAGAGGGCAUGUUAGUGUUUUUUCGAAGGAUGCUGAAGGAGCUCGGUGGCUGCCAAAGCAAUUGGUGAGACAAGCUGACGCUGGGACAAAGAAUGAUGCUGACUGUGAGCUUGCUGAGUGCCCUGACAGUGGUGACAGGGAAACUGUAUUGGGCAUAUGUUCCUGACCCACCUUUGCUUGCCUAUAUCCCAGACUAGACGAGCUGCCUUGCCUCAAGCUUUUAGACUUCGUGGGACAGAGAAUGUGGAGACUGUGGAAACUGCCUUCAAAAAAAUUAAUCAAAUAGAGAGGUUAGAAUGACCCUUCUCUUUCCUUUGAUGUGUUCAGUUAUUCUGACUCAAUCACGGACUGGUCUGGAAAUCAAUUCAAUAUUCGAAAAAAGGAAAAGACGGUGGGUAUUUGGAGGGCUGAUUCUAGACAUUUUCAAAGGCAUAUUUGAAAAUUGACAGUUGCCUUGUAUGAUAUUAUGUUUGCUGUGGGUAAAAAUGGAACAGGUUCUGGGGUUAAGAUAAAUGUGACAUUCUGCUUUGUCCCACCUAAUGGGAAUGUUACCUUUGUUAUUGGCUCUGAAAAUGAGUUCAAUGUUUCUUGUUUUGUUUUGUUUUUAAAGAUUUAUUUAUUUUAUGUAUAUGAGUACGCACUGUAGUUGUACAGAUGUUUGUGAGCCUUCAUGUGAUUGUUGGGAAUUGAACUUAGAACCUCUGCUUGCUCUGGCCAACCCCACUUGCUCCAGCCCAAAGAUUUAUUUAUUAUUAUAAGUUCACUGUAGCUGUCUUCAAACGCACCAGAAGAGGGCAUCAGAUCUCAUUAUGGGUGGUUGUGAGCCACCAUGUGGUUGCUGGGAUUUGAACUCAGUAGCUUUGGAAGAGCAGUCAGUGCUCUUACCCACUGAACCAUCUCACCAGCCCAAUAUUUCUUGUUUUAAUUGUUUUUUGCCCAAUCGUGUUUCUGUGCUGUACAAUGGUCUAUCUGUAAUGGUAGCACAUCAACCAGCUUCUGUCAUGAUUCCUGUAAAUUUAUCUGAACCUUGGUGUUCUGAAAAAGGUUUACAAAUAUAAGAAGAAGUGAGUCAGGUUUUAAGUAGAAGCAAGAGGGUAAUUGAUGUGUUUAUAAAAAGAUAAAGAGGGGGGGAUAUGUUUUGGUGGAUGUGUGGUGAGGUGUUAGGGAAGGGGAUUCCUCGGCAGGCCCAUAAUGAGGCAUCCCUUCCCCCUGAGAGACCAGCCAGAGAAGGAAUGGUAUAGAAAAGAGUUUAUUCAGAGUAUGGGGAGGGGAGUUGAGAGGGUAGUAGAGGCAGAGAAAGGGAGAGAGAGAGAGAGAGAGAGAGAGAGAGAGAGAGAGAGAGAGAGAGAGAAGAGAAGAGAAGAGAAGAGAAGAGAAGAGAAGAGAAGAGAAGAGAAGAGAAGAGAAGAGAAGAGAAGAGAAGAGAAGAGAAGAGAAGAGAAGUAGAGGCGCAGGAAGGCAAGAGCAAGAGAGAGGGAGGAGGGGGCAAGCAGCCCCUUUUAUAGAGAGUCAGGCACACCUGGCUGUUGCCAGGGAACUGUGGGACAGAGCUUAGACAAAAUGCUAACAGUAUUGGGUUUGAUUGUUACCGGGAGGCAGCUUUGAUUACAUAACAAUAAUCACUAGCACCACUGCUUCUGCAAUUGUUUUGAGGCAAGAAGUUAAGACAGCCCAUUUUGUUAAUCACUUAGCAAAAAAAUGUUACUAAUACUCUUAGUAUUUAGAUAGGAUUUUGGAGAAACAAAUUGAUGCUUUUUUCUUAAGAUUUAUUAUUAUAUCUAAGUACACUGUAGCUGUCUUCAGACACACCAGAAGAGGGAGGGCGUCAGAUCUUAUUAAGGAUGGUUGUGAGCCACCAUGUGGUUGCUGGGAUUUGAACUUAUGACCCUUGGAAGAGCAGUCAGUGCUCUUACCCACUGAGCCACCUCUCCAGCCCAAACUGAUGCUUUUUAUGAUACUAUUCAAAUUAUUGGAGAGGAGGUUCAGAAUUUCAGAGUAAGAAGCCAUCUCGAGUAUCAUGCUAAAUACCAAUGGAUUUAUGUUACUUCUAAAAUUUAUAAUGACAGUCACUAUAAAUGGGAGAAAAUUCAAAGACACUUGCAGGGUAUUUGACAUAAUUCUAACACCUCUCUCCUCUCUGGAUUUUUGUUUUUGUUUUUGUUUUGUUUUUUUU